rnacentral:rRNA from 1 species
GAUGAACGCUGGCGGCGUGCCUAAUACAUGCAAGUCGAGCGAACAGACGAGGAGCUUGCUCCUUUGACGUUAGCGGCGGACGGGUGAGUAACACGUAGGUAACCUACCUAUAAGACUGGGAUAACUUCGGGAAACCGGAGCUAAUACCGGAUAAUAUUUCGAACCGCAUGGUUCGUUAGUGAAAGAUGGCUUUGCUAUCACUUAUAGAUGGACCUGCGCCGUAUUAGCUAGUUGGUAAGGUAACGGCUUACCAAGGCAACGAUACGUAGCCGACCUGAGAGGGUGAUCGGCCACACUGGAACUGAGCCACGGUCCAGACUCCUACGGGAGGCAGCAGUAGGGAAUCUUCCGCAAUGGGCGAAAGCCUGACGGAGCAACGCCGCGUGAGUGAUGAAGGUCUUCGGAUCGUAAAACUCUGUUAUUAGGGAAGAACAAACGUGUAAGUAACUGUGCACGUCUUGACGGUACCUAAUCAGAAAGCCACGGCUAACUACGUG